GAUGAACGCUGGCGGCGUGCCUAAUACAUGCCAGUCGAGCGAAUGGAUUAAGAGCUUGCUCUUAUGAAGUUAGCGGCGGACGGUUGAGUAACACGUGGGUAACCUGCCCAUAAGACUGGGAUAACUCCGGGAAACCGGGGCUAAUACCGGAUAACAUUUUGAACCGCAUGGUUCGAAAUUGAAAGGCGGCUUCGGCUGUCACUUAUGGAUGUACCCGCGUCGCAUUAGCUAGUUGGUGAGGUAACGGCUCACCAAGGCAACGAUGCGUAGCCGACCUGAGAGGGUGAUCGGCCACACUGGGACUGAGACACGGCCCAGACACCUACGGGAGGCAGCAGUAGGGAAUCUUCCGCAAUGGACGAAAGUCUGACGGAGCAACGCCGCGUGAGUGAUGAAGGCUUUCGGGUCGUAAAACUCUGUUGUUAGGGAAGAACAAGUGCUAGUUGAAUAAGCUGGCACCUUGACGGUACCUAACCAGAAAGCCACGGCUAACUACGUGCCAGCCGCCGCAGUAA
rnacentral:rRNA from 1 species